CAUACCCCAAAAAUGAUGGUUUAAUUCCUUCCCUUACUA
rnacentral:tRNA from 1 species